rnacentral:misc_RNA from 1 species
AACCGCCGUAUACGGAACCGUACGUACGGUGGUGUGAGAGGACGGCGGAUGCAAAUCCGCCUCCUAC